rnacentral:rRNA from 2 species
AUGGGGUGCAGCAGGCGAGAAAACUUUGCAAUGUGCGAAAGCACGACAAGGUUAAUCCAAGUGAUUUCUGCUAAAGAAAUCUUUUGUUAGUUUUAAAAACACUGAUGAAUAAGGGGUGGGCAAGUUCUGGUGUCAGCCGCCGCGGUAAAACCAGCACCUCAAGUGGUCAGGAUGAUUAUUGGGCCUAAAGCAUCCGUAGCCGGUUGUGUAAGUUUUCGGUUAAAUCCAUGUGCUUAACAUAUGGGGGAAAUACUAUACGACUAGGAAGUGGGAGAGGUAGACGGUACUCGAUAGGAAGGGGUAAAAUCCUUUGAUCUAUUGAUGACCACCAGUGGCGAAGGCGGUCUACCAGAACACGUUCGACGGUGAGGGAUGAAAGCUGGGGGAGCAAACCGGAUUAGAUACCCGGGUAGUCCCAGCUGUAAACAAUGCAAACUCAGUGAUGCGUUGGCUUAUAGCUAACGCAGUGCUGCAGGGAAGCCGUUAAGUUUGCCGCCUGGGAAGUACGUACGCAAGUAUGAAACUUAAAGGAAUUGGCGGGGGAGCAC